AGCUCCUAGCAACCACCAUUACAUUUUCCGUCUUUAUGAUUUUGACGUCUCUAAGUGCUUCAUCACAGCUAUAUGAAGAUGGCUAUAUGAUAAGUUCUCUGAGACUUCCUACAAAUCGCUGAACCUUGGGGUGGAUCGCCAAUACACCAUAUUACAGUGGCCUAUAGAAGUUUCAAACCUUUAGUAAUUCUGUUAUUUUCAGUGGUAUAUUAUAUCAACCAACACUUUGGAAGCCAACAAUCGUUUAUACCUACAAAGUAGAUAUGUGUUAGGAAUUGGGAUUCUUGGUGCUAUAACAUCAACACCAGAAGAUAGAAUCAUAGGGAGGCCUGGUAUGCUGUGAUUCAUGGGGUCGCAAAGAGUCGGACAUGACUGAGCGACUGAACUGAACUGAACUGAAUCCUUGUUUUAAAUGAACAGCAAUGAGUCUGAUAUAUCUUCAUUACUGAUUGAUCACAAGUUGUUCCUUUAUCCUCACUGGAAAACUUCCAGAUAUGUAUUUGUAUAAAUCAAUUCAUUAUUAAUUUUAUAUCUUAUUGUUUAUUUCUUAAGUUUUAAUAACUUUGAUUUUCGUUUUAUUAUCAUAGUUACAUUCUAUUACUGGCAAGAGAUCAUGGUUUUCCAUUCCAUGGAGUCAAUGCAAGUUUCUCUUCAAAACAAAUGUGUUUAAGUUUUAAAAGUGACCUCACAAAAUCAUAAAAAGAAAGAAGAAAAGAGGGGAUCAAUGGAAAAAUUGCAGUAAGUAAAUAUGGGUGAUGGUAUGUGGGAUUUCAUCAUAUUGUUCUUAUUUUGUGUGGGCAUACUUGGAAUUUUGAAUAAUAGAAAAGUUAGUUGAGAAUCUAAUUUCUGGCAGCAUGUCAGACUUUUGCUCACUAAAUAAUUAGCUAUUCCAUGAAAUAACUAUUUUAAUGUACUGCUUUCAUAAGAGUUUGGGCUUCCCUGGUGGCUCAGACGGUAAAGCGUCUGCCUGCAAUGUGGGAGACCCAGGUUCGAUUCCUGGGUUGGGAAGAUCCCCGGAGAAGGAAAUGGCA
ensembl:lncRNA